rnacentral:rRNA from 1 species
GACAGAGGGUGCAAACGUUGCUCGGAAUUACUGGGCGUAAAGCGCGUGUAGGCGGCCCUGCAAGUCGGGUGUGAAAUCCCACGGCUCAACCGUGGAAGUGCACUCGAAACUGCAGGGCUAGAGUCCUGGAGAGGAAGGUGGAAUGCUUGGUGUAGAGGUGAAAUUCGUAGAUAUCAAGCGGAACACCGGUGGCGAAGGCGGCCUUCUGGACGAUGACUGACGCUGAGACGCGAAAGCGUGGGGAGCAAACAGG